rnacentral:tRNA from 1 species
GGGGCCUUAGCUCAGUUGGUUAGAGCAGUCGGCUCAUAACCGAUCGGUCCGGGGUUCGAGUCCCUGAGGCCCCACCA